rnacentral:rRNA from 1 species
UACAGAGGUCUCAAGCGUUGUUCGGAUUCAUUGGGCGUAAAGGGGUGCGUAGGUGGCGCGGUAAGUCGGGUGUGAAAUUUCGGAGCUUAACUCCGAAACUGCAUUCGAUACUGCCGUGCUUGAGGACUGGAGAGGAGACUGGAAUUUACGGUGUAGCAGUGAAAUGCGUAGAGAUCGUAAGGAAGACCAGUGGCGAAGGCGGGUCUCUGGACAGUUCCUGACACUGAGGCACGAAGGCCAGGGGAGCAAACGGG